GUUUAGUUAACUAUAUGUUAAAUACUUUAUCCUAAUUAAUUUUUAAUAUUUUUACCUCUAUUAUAUUGUAGUGUUCUAAAGGUUUGGAUAGAAUUUGCUACAGUAUUAGUGAUUGGUCGACACAUCUGGUAGUGUCGGAUUGAGUCGGAGUCAUUUCUACACGAAAUGGACGCAGAAAUAGACUUGGCGCACUCAAAGGAGCAAAACUAGAGUUUUGCUGGUUUUGGGCACCCAGAACUUGAGUGCUGGUUUGAGCAGAUCUGGAAGCCAAUUCGGAUCCGGAUUUCGGGCGCCCGGUUGUGGGUCCAAAAGUUCAUCUCGUGAAUAUCAUUUGAACUGACACGUGGCUGGUGGUAGGUGAGAUCCGCCGGACCAGGUUUCGGGCGCAGCACACUACGGGCAGAGGAACCGAUGAGGAGCAAUUGUGCAGCCUGGAGGUUUCGGACGCCCAGAACAUGGUUUUAGACGCCCGAAACUGUGCGUUUCUGCAGGGGCAAUAGAGAAGCUAUAUUUUGCAUCUUAGCCCCUCAAAUCACUCCAAAUUCCACAAUUUGCUUACUUUCCACUUCAAAGACGGCAGUUUCAGCAGAAUUCCAGCAGCGACCUUCGGCGUUUCGGCUCGUGUGUGACGUAGGAGGGUCGAAUUACUGUAAAACUUAGUUUGGUGAUUAGUUGACUUCUUGGAGAAUUCGUGGAGCAAAUUUGACAGAAAUUCAUUGAGGUUUGUAUAGUCAAUUUCGUGUUCUUCUGAGAUGCUGGUAUUUACGAGCUGAAGCUGAGUUUUAUUGGUUUUCUUGAAUCAAACCUGGGAGAAAGCUGGAUUUCGGACCUGAAGAUAGUACUCCAUCAUACUUCACUACUGUUGGGACCUUUCUUCACCUGAAUUGAGCUUUGGAAGACUCGCUGAGAGCUUAUUGCUGGUUGGUUGCUGGUCCAGGGGUGGUUUCGGCUGUGUUUCCCAACGGCUUCGCGACUUCUAGCUGUGUCGGAUAUUACGCUAGAGGUGGGUUAAUGAUGCUUACCGAAAUUUUCGGAUCUCCUUCUAAGUUUAGUAGUUGACAGCAUGUAUAUUUAGUUUUUUUGUAUAUCUUGUAAUU